rnacentral:lncRNA from 1 species
AUGAGAGUUGACACUGAGUGGGCCUUCUUCACAAUACCUGCUUUUGACUGGUUGGUUCGAGUUGCAGUCUUCUUAAGCCAAUAUCCAACACCAUCACUCAAGUCAAACAGUAAAUGCAGCCGACAAUCUGUGGACCUGGGUGAUUGUAUAUUGUGCUGUCAUGCCUGUGGCAUCAUCAAUAGCAGCUCUCAACAUGGAGCCCCUUUAAACAGGAUAAAAAUGACAAAGAUAACUAUAGUUAAAAAGUGGAGCAAGAAAAAAUGGAAUGAAGUUGGAGUAACUGCAUGCCUUGAAUUGGGCCACAAAUCUGGCCUGGAGCUUCCUAGCAGCCCAUUUUGUCGUGGACAGUCUUUGCCCUAUUUGUUCCAAACUAACCUACUGUGGUGCUGAGUGUUUUCGAGGACUCCUGGUUCCUGUGUUACAAGGGCCAAGAAGCUUGAUCAGACUGCAGGUUGCUGUAGAAUGUUCCAUAUUCUCUGAGGGCCCAGGAGGCUGAGUGGCGUGACCUUGCCUUCUUCACUUCUUUUUUUUUUUUUUUCCCUUCUUCACUUCUGAGAGUGUCUGAGAGUGUGAAUGUCUCUUGGGUGGGUGAGGGGUCCUGGAUUGGAGCCAGAGGCUUUAAAAGACCUAAGAGAAAGAUGGAUGUGACUGUGUGCCUGAGGUGUAGUGAUCCACACUUGAAGCAGUAGAGGCACUGUUGCAGUUAUGAAGAGAUAAAUUAUAUCAAAAGAAAACCAUGCAGGGUUGUAUCAAUGUUUAAAAAAUUAAAGAAAAAAACAGAAAUGGAAAAAAUGAGGCUCUUUUUAUGAAAACCAGCUGAAAAAUGGUACUUUGAGAAUUGAGUUCUGAGAAUCUGCUCCAUUUCUCAUUCUCUUCUUUCCUUUCUUCCUUCAUCUCCUCCAUUGUCUUGAUUGGCUACCAUUGUGAGAAAAUGCAGGUUGC